rnacentral:rRNA from 1 species
GAUGAACGCUGGUGGCAUGCUUUACACAUGCAAGUCGAACGGCAGCACAGGGAGCUUGCUCCCGGGUGGCGAGUGGCGCACGGGUGAGUAAUACGUGAAGAACCUGCCUUACAGAGGGGGACAACAGUUGGAAACGACUGCUAAUACCGCAUAACAUUUGAGGGUGGCAUCACUCUUGAAUCAAAGGAGCAAUCCGCUGUAAGAUGGCUUCGCGUCCGAUUAGACAGUUGGCGGGGUAACGGCCCACCAAAUCUACGAUCGGUAGCCGGACUGAGAGGUUGAACGGCCACAUUGGGACUGGGACACGGCCCAG